rnacentral:lncRNA from 1 species
GGCAGCCUUGCUCUCGCUCCACUGAAACUAUAAAGGGACCUGCGGGGAAAGCUGGACCAUGGCUCAUCAUUCUUAACAUCCUCGAAGCAGUUGCAAAAAGAUAAAAAGAUGAAGGGGAGCCCAAAGCUUCCGACAGAAUUCAUAACAGAAAAUAACUUGAUUAAAGCCUGACUCUUUUAAAAGGUAUGUAUGAAAUCUAGAUUUACAUUUUUGCCAGCAUACAUUUUUACUGUUGGUGCAAAGAGAAUCAGCUUUCCGGAAAUGUACUGUUAAAUAGUCCUGGCCCAACACAGCAGCUUCUCCUACUCUGGCCUUUCUAAGUUGGAGUGGCUGCAGUGAAUGUAGUGAAUGUACAAAUUGAUUGUACAAACAGUUGUGAGACGUACCGGGUCUGAACAGUGAUGGACUACAUCCCGAAGAUGAUGACCUGAAGACAGAUACAGCGUCUGAGAGAAGACCAUUGUGUUUAAGUGAAGUUUAAGUCUUGUUUGUUACGCAGUUCUUUCUCAUAGCAUGUCAUGGUACCUCUUUCUGCAAUGAAACCUGACCAGUGAGAUGCCAGCCUGCCUGUGAAGAUCCUGCAGCAGAAGUGCAUGUGAGUGGUGCUCUGUUUUGUUUUCUGCUGAGCUUACUGUCGUUGGUCUAGUCUAUGAUGAUCCUAUCCCGAACCUGAAUUCCUGUUGAAAGACCAUACUUACGGAUCUGGCUUCUGAGAUGGACCAUUGCAAAGGACUAUUGUGUUCUUCUUUAAUGUUGGCAGUAAUGUGAUGCCUGUUUUUUGUUUGUUUGUUUGUUUGUUUUGUUUUUAUAUUUUAGGACCAGUGACACUAGACUUCUUGCAAAUGAACACUAGAUAUGGUAACAUCCAGAAAAGGCAGAGACAAGAAAAUUCACAGUCUGAGUACUGGGGUGUUUGAGAUGGGGUCUAUCUACAUGUCUCUAGCUGUCCCUAUGUAGUGAACGGGACAGCAUCUGGUAUGACCUGCAGAGUUGAUUCCUGUAUGUUUUUUUGUGGGCUGUAUGUAAAUGGAUUGUUUUUGACAAUCCAUUCGACCAUGUUCUCUGCUGUGACAGUCAUGGGGUCAUGGGUGAGCUGGUGACAGACACACCUGUACAGACUGAGCAGAGUGAAUGCAAUCCUGACUAUAAAGCAGCAGGUCACUAUUUUUGUGAUUGUAAAAUUGGUUAUGAGCCAUUUCCAUAUUCAUCUGACAGUGGUUGCUUGGGAGUGCUGCAAUAAGCAUUCAGUAGCAAAUAUUUCUUCAGGUUUUAUUUUUAAUGCUGAAAAAAAUAAGUUUAUUAUAAUUUAUUUUAUUUGACAAUCUAGGAAUUUUGGGCCCAUCAGCAGUUCCAGUGCAAUUUUGGAUGCAAUUGGGAAUUCAGGAAUUUCAAUGGAGCUGUUAGCAUAGGGGACCUUAUAGGUCAAAUUCAUGCACACUUUCAAUAGCACGUGUGAGGGGAUCUCUCUAAAAUUGACCUCGUUGGUUCCAUUCUCCGCAAACUAACCUGGACUGCUCCACAUGGCCUUUCUUGUUCCUGAUGUUGAUGCAUGUUCUCCUUUUACAAUAAAUUCAUGACCAUUAGAAGACAAUGAUUUCACAUACAUAGCAUCAGGGCCUUCACAGCCGCUGUAGGCUUUCUCCACUCCAUCCAUUAUGUUCUUAUAAAAUCCUGUUUGAUCCCAGAGGAACUUUAGUAGUUUCCUGUCCAGGCCUAGACUCGGCCUGCUUGUACCUUGCCUCCGAGGAAGUGCUUUUCAGGAUUUUUGUGUCAGCAGACUGAUUAACCAGAGUGUCCUGUUACAUGUUCCACUUCCAUGGUAAUUGAGUUUUCAAAGUUGGUGAGCUACGUGCACUAAUGCCAAUCUCCUUAUUAGGACGAUUGUGCACAUGAUCAGGUUUCCCUGUGAAAUUGUCACACAAUGCCUUGAUUACAUUUGUCCAGCCCUCCCAAGUGCUAAAACUAAGUGGGCUGUCAGUGAUAGCUUUCACUUCUAAGUUCUUACUGGUGCAUACUUCCAUUUUCCUUUGAGGUAACUGGCAAGGGUUGAACUUCCUUCGUUUUUUUGAGACAGUGUCUCAAAAUUGACCUGGUACUCAACUAUAGAGAUGGCUGGCCUCAGUUUAUAGAUUAAGGAAAAGGCUGCCAUGCCUAACCUUAGAAUACUCUGCUACUAAAUUGCCUGUCGUCAGUUUGUUACCAGCCUUUACAAAGUAGUGCCAGUGUUCCUGGUUGGGAAUAAAUUUUUGGUUUUUGUGGUUUG